AUUGGGCGUAAGCGCGCGCAGGCGGUCCUUUAAGUCUGAUGUGAAAGCCCACGGCUCAACCGUGGAGGGUCAUUGGAAACUGGGGGACUUGAGUGCAGAAGAGGAAAGCGGAAUUCCUCGUGUAGCGGUGAAAUGCGUAGAGAUGUGGAGGAACACCAGUGGCGAAGGCGGCUUUCUGGUCUGUAACUGACGCUGAGGCGCGAAAGCGUGGGGAGCAAACAGGAUUAAAUACCCUGGUAGUCCACCCCGUAAACGAUGAGUGCUAAGUGUUAGAGGGUUUCCUCCCUCCCAGUGCUGCAGCUAACGCAUUAAGCACUCCGCCUGGCGAGUACGGUCGCAAGGCUGAAACUCAAAUGAAUUG
rnacentral:rRNA from 2 species